rnacentral:tRNA from 1 species
GCCCUUAUUACGCGUCGGUCUACGGAACCGAAGAUUGCAGGUUCGAAUCCUGCCGAGGUCG